GCAAUGAUACUAUAACAUUAUGCACUAUACACUAAGCUAGCUAUGCACUUAUUCAUCGGGUGUCCGCACUAAGUUUAGUAUCUAUGUGGUGCUCCUGGGGGAACUCGGGACCACCAGGUCAUCUAAGGAGGGGUGGUCGGAGACGGAGCAGGUCAAAGCCCACGUGCCGAUCAGUAGUGGGAUCGCGCCUGUGGAUACAUUUACAUUUAGUCAUUUAGC
rnacentral:sRNA from 1 species